rnacentral:rRNA from 1 species
GAUGAACGCUAGCGGCGUGCCUAAUACAUGCAAGUCGAGCGAAUCAAUAGGAGCUUGCUCCUGUUGAUUAGCGGCGGACGGGUGAGUAACGCGUGGGCAACCUGCCUGUAAAACUGGGAUAACACCGGGAAACCGGUGCUAAUACCGGAUAAUCCUUUCCCUCUCAUGAGGGAAAGCUGAAAGUCGGUUUCGGCUGACACUUACAGAUGGGCCCGCGGCGCAUUAGCUAGUUGGUGAGGUAACGGCUCACCAAGGCGACGAUGCGUAGCCGACCUGAGAGGGUGAUCGGCCACACUGGGACUGAGACACGGCCCAGACCCCUACGGGAGGCAGCAGUAGGGAAUCUUCCACAAUGGACGAAAGUCUGAUGGAGCAACGCCGCGUGAGUGAUGAAGGCCUUCGGGUCGUAAAGCUCUGUUGUUAGGGAAGAACAAGUACCGGAGUAACUGCCGGUACCUUGACGGUACCUAACCAGAAAGCCACGGCUAACUACGUGCCAGCAGCCGCAGUAAUAC